rnacentral:rRNA from 1 species
GAUGAACGCUGGCGGCGUGCCUAAUACAUGCAAGUCGAGCGAACGGACGAGAAGCUUGCUUCUCUGAUGUUAGCGGCGGACGGGUGAGUAACACGUGGAUAACCUACCUAUAAGACUGGGAUAACUUCGGGAAACCGGAGCUAAUACCGGAUAAUAUUUUGGACCGCAUGGUCCAAAAGUGAAAGACGGUCUUGCUGUCACUUAUAGAUGGAUCCGCGCUGCAUUAGCUAGUUGGUAAGGUAACGGCUUACCAAGGCAACGAUGCAUAGCCGACCUGAGAGGGUGAUCGGCCACACUGGAACUGAGACACGGUCCAGACUCCUACGGGAGGCAGCAGUAGGGAAUCUUCCGCAAUGGGCGAAAGCCUGACGGAGCAACGCCGCGUGAGUGAUAAAGGUCUUCGGAUCGUAAAACUCUGUUAUUAGGGAAGAACAUAUGUGUAAGUAACUGUGCACAUCUUGACGGUACCUAAUCAGAAAGCCACGGCUAACUACGUG